UACGAAGGACCCAAGCGUUAUCCGGAUUUAUUGGGUUUAAAGGGUGCGUAGGCGGGUUAUUAAGUCAGUGGUGAAAGCCUGCAGCUUAACUGCAGAAUUGCCAUUGAUACUGAUGAUCUUGAGUAUGAUUGAGGUGGGCGGAAUGUGUCAUGUAGCGGUGAAAUGCUUAGAUAUGACACAGAACACCGAUUGCGAAGGCAGCUCACUAAGCCAUAACUGACGCUGAUGCACGAAAAGCGUGGGGAGCAAACAGG
rnacentral:rRNA from 1 species